GGGGGUGCCUGGUUUUGACAGCGUAGAUCUUUGAAAGAAAAAGCAUGUCGUGCGUUGGAUAAUUAGCACGUAAAUCUGAAUAUUCAAAAUUCAAAUGGCAAUACUCAGUAUGCCAUGGCUGCCUAAUCAGUGAUUAAGUAGUCAUUCGGGCCGCAGGACAGGUUUACCUUUUACCAGGUUCUGCCGCCGACUAAAAACAAAUAAAGGAUGCUGUUGCGGAAGGCUGUGACCACAACUCAAGACCAUUCAGCUAAGGGGAUUAUUGGUUUGUUGCGUUCCGGUGAUCCCACGAAAAUCAAUAAGCAAAUAAGCAUGUAGAAAGCUUUCGGAGAAUAUGUUUGGACAGGAGUUCGAAUCUCCUCACCUCCACCC
rnacentral:tmRNA from 1 species